rnacentral:rRNA from 1 species
CGGGGGAUUAGGGUUCGAUUCCGGAGAGGGAGCCUGAGAAACGGCUACCACAUCUAAGGAAGGCAGCAGGCGCGCAAAUUACCCAAUUCUAACAGCAUAAGAGAGGUAGUGACAAGAAAUAACAAUACAAGGCAGUUAAAAUGCUUUGUAAUUGGAAUGAUAGAAAUUUAAACACUUUUUAAAGUAUCAAUUGGAGGGCAAGUCUGGUGCCAGCAGCCGCGGUAAUUCCAGCUCCAAUAGCGUAUAUUAAAAUUGUUGCAGUUAAAAAGCUCGUAGUUGAAUUUCUGUUAAAAAUAACCGGUCUGCUUUUAACAAAAGUGGUAUCUUGGUGUGUUUUUAGCAAUAAUGUCCUUUGAAAUGUGUUUUACUUUGUUGUAAAAAACAAUAUUCAGGAUUUUUACUUUGAGAAAAUUAGAGUGUUUCUAGCAAGCUAAUGUUUUGAAUACUGCAGCAUGGAAUAAUAAAAUAGAAUUUUAGUUCUACAUUGUUGGUUUUAAGAGCUGAAUUAAUGAUUGAUAGGGACAGUUGGGGGCAUUUGUAUUUAACUGUCAGAGGUGAAAU